rnacentral:rRNA from 1 species
UCGAACGCAUCCUUCGGGGUGAGUGGCAGACGGGUGAGUAACGCGUGGGAACGUGCCCUUCAGUUCGGAAUAACCCAGGGAAACUUGGGCUAAUACCGGAUACGUGCGAGAGCAGAAAGAUUUAUCGCUGAAGGAUCGGCCCGCGUCUGAUUAGCUGGUUGGUGGGGUAAUGGCCCACCAAGGCGACGAUCAGUAGCUGGUCUGAGAGGAUGAUCAGCCACAUUGGGACUGAGACACGGCCCAAACUCCUACGGGAGGCAGCAGUGGGGAAUAUUGGACAAUGGGCGCAAGCCUGAUCCAGCCAUGCCGCGUGAGUGAUGAAGGCCUUAGGGUUGUAAAGCUCUUUCGCCCGGGACGAUAAUGACGGUACCGGAAGAAGAAGCCCCGGCUAACUUCGUGCCAGCAGCCGCGGUAAUACGAAGGGGGCUAGCGUUG